rnacentral:lncRNA from 1 species
AUGAAGAGGCCCAGCUACAAAGCAUUGGUAUACCCAGGACCUGGGACUGCAGCUGAUGGACAAGUGGCCAGAAGUACCUCUGGGGUAGUCACCCAUCCGUCUUUGAAUUCCAUCUGGUCAUCACACUUUACAGAAACUUUGUCAUCUUCCAGGAGUCUGAAAGUGAGUAGCUGUUUACAGAAAGAGAGCAGCAGGGAGAGGCCAAAUUAAAAGAAAAUAAUCCCCACCCCCCAGAAAAUAACCAACCAAUGAACCAGCCCUAAAGAAAAAACUCUCACCUUAUUUUCAAUUCUGUUGUCUCUUGGUUGUGUGUUGGUGGUGGUGGAGAAGUGUGUAUCUGUCCCUGCGUUUUAACUCAUACAACUUUAUGAUAACCAGGUGGGAGGGAGUAUGGUACUAUUGACAGGAGGCACUGGUUGAAUAUUUUAGAGCUGUGUUCACUAUAACUCAUUAAAAAACAAUUAACUAGAAAGGAAAGACAUAUAUUUCCCAGGAUUUCUACAAUGCUGCUGUGUUAAUUUUAUUAGCAGGUCAAAAAUAUAUUUUUUAAAAAUAACGACUAUCACAGUAAAACUUAGUGAUUAUUGCAUGCCAGGUUUUGUUUUAAGUUCUUUCUACAUAUUAACUUCUUUAAUUCUAACAACCAGCUUCUGGUUAAAAGAUACUAUCAUUAUCUCCAGUUUCCAGAUAUGAACACUGUGGCACAGAAAUGUUGACUAUUAAUUUCUUGUCCAAGAUCAUAUGUCUGGCCAAUGGUAGAGAAUCUGCCCAAGAAGUCAGGUGCUAGAGUCUAAUUCUUAGCCAAAUUCCACAUCACUUUCUAGACUAAAAGCCUGGGAUAGGGAAAUCGAGACACAGAAAAGUUAAACUUGCUGAAGUCACAAAGCUAAGCAGUAAGGGAGCAGGGACUCAAACUCAGCUCUUUCUAAGUCCAGUGACUAUACCCUUAGGAGUUAUUCAUGUAUUUUCUCUUUCCUCAUUGAGUGUCCUAAAAGAUUACCAUGAAGGCUCAGUGAGACAAGGUAUGUGGGUAUGUUUAGCAAACUGUAAAGCACCAUACAAGCCAUUUGUAAAUUAGAUUGAAGAACUAGAGGGGAAAUAGGAAAAAACUCACCUUGUAUUUGAGGUACAGAAGACAGACCCACAUCCUUGCAGUGAGGAGAUAAAACAGUAGAAAUGCAAAGGAAAAUCAGGUGGGAUCUUAAAACCAGACAGAGUAGAAGAGGGGAACAUUUCUCUUUUAGUGCUAAAUGUGCUAAGUGAUAAAAGCAACAGACCCA